CUUGUGUGAUUCUCGUACUCCUUAGCUUUAACAACAAUAAGAUGAAAGUUGAUAUGGCUAGCAAAAGUGCGUUUUUAACCUGUUUAGGCUUUGGCCCUGCUGCCAGUGGCCAAUAUGGGUAAUACAUGACAUAAUGGGUAUGCAUUGACAGACGCAUAUGGAGAAUCAUAAGCAACAUCCCCCGUGAUUGGAACAGCAUGGAAGCAUAACCAACCAGCAAGUGCAAGUACUGAUGAAAUGAAUCUCAUUGUACUCAUUGGACUGCAAUGAAUGGCUCACUGAGAGAGUGUUAAUUGACGCUCAAUUAUCUCCAUAUUGCAUUCUAUCUUUACAAACUAUGAGCAUAAUGAAAGUACAUGGUGGCUGCUGUUUGUUAAGUGACACAAGUCGCUUCAAUUAUAUAUAUGAAUGAUGUACACAGGUCCAGAUUUUCCCUAGCCAUUUAAACUGCACUUUUAUCCGGUUUCUAUUAUUCUUUGUAGUUGGAAGUAAUGUCAUAUUGAUUUAUCUGAUUCGAUAUCAGAGGUUUAAAAGCCUACAACCACCAAAAAGGUAUAGCUGUGAAGACUUGCAAUUAGUUUUUAAUUAUGUAUAAUUUAGAGGAGACAGACCUCACAAAGGUAAACUAAGAUAUGCAGCUCUGGUUUCAUACUCUGCAGAUGGCCCAAUUUCUCGAAGGUCUUCAUUGAUAAAUUAGCCUUCAGAGAUUGUACAUUGCUGCUGAGAAGUGUCACUAUCGUUUUUUUUUUUGGGUAAUGGUGGUGAUUAAAAUUCCUGGAGCGAUGAAGCUCAAAUGAGCACAUCGUAGUUGCUCUAGGGACCAGUUGCUCAUUCUUCAAGGACUUUUGCCGGCAACAACUGGAGGGCUCAAACCUCUACAUGGACCACCUGAGAUUUUGCAGUAUUUGCUUUCUCACCUAGGGAUUUUUCAAGUGGAAUUCAGGGGCCUAUAAUCUAGUAAUAGUUUAGCUAUUGUAAGAGUUAUUAGCAAUGUCCUCACCCUCCUUGUCCCGCUGUCCUUUUUGACAUGCAAUUCAUGGUGGUUAAGAAUGCACUGUGGGCCUGGUCAAGAAUUAAUGCAGUGGGCAAUUGUUUCUUUGUGUAACCUAAGAAGAAUGUCUUGUUAUUCAAACAUGUAGA